AUGACCAUGUCAUGUUGAAACACCAGUUCUUGUUUGACCACUAAAGUUAAUCAAUGUUAAGCCUGUGCAGUACUCAGAUGAGUAACUGCUGGGGAAUACCAGGUGCUGUAAG